UGGAAGGUGGAGUAUUAGAAAGAGGGAAACAUAAUUUCUUGGGCUGAAGCCCAAGUUUCCACACACACGAUCUGGACCCUACAUCAUGCCAUGUUUACUCCACCGUGACCCAAUGUAUCAACGCAAUAUGAAGAAAUUAUAUCCAAACAUCGCACGCAGCAACACGAAAGCAACAUAAGAAAACGUUGAUGUCGAAAACAAAAACAAAAAACUCUCAUCGUUGGCGCUUGGGUCCUAUUCACGAGCGACCUGAAUCCCUCCAUGCAAUUUUCAUGUUUCCGUGUUGUUGAUGAUGAUAUUGUUGUUCAUGAUUGCGAUGAAGAUGGAGGCGUAACGUGCACUGCACUUUGGUAUGCUCCUCCUGUUAUACCUUCGGAAAGGACAUGAACAUGUGGAUCAAAUGGCCCCUUUUUUAUGGACAUUUUGAGAAUCCGAGCUUGGAAUGCAAGGACUUGGUCUACAUUGGCUUGAAAUUUUGUCAUGGUUUCUUUUCGUGUAACCAUUUUCUUGUGUAACUUGUACAUGGUACAACUUAAGGCUUUUUAAUGAUACUUGUAAUGCAACAUGAACUUGAUGUAAUUUGAAUGUGUAUAUAUGUAUUGGAAUACAUGGUUUUGGAAUGAAAUUAGGAGUUGACUCCUGAAUAAUUUUGACUUGAA